CGGUUAAGUUAGAAAGGGCGCACGGUGGAUGCCUUGGCACUAGGAGCCGAUGAAGGACGGGACGAACACCGAUAUGCUUCGGGGAGCUGUAAGCAAGCUUUGAUCCGGAGAUUUCCGAAUGGGGAAACCCACCACUCGUAAUGGAGUGGUAUCCAUAUCUGAAUACAUAGGAUAUGAGAUGGCAGACCCGGGGAACUGAAACAUCUAAGUACCCGGAGGAAGAGAAAGCAAAUGCGAUUCCCUGAGUAGCGGCGAGCGAAACGGGACCAGCCCAAACCAAGAGGCUUGCCUCUUGGGGUUGUAGGACACUCUGUACGGAGUUACAAAGGAACGAGGUAGAUGAAGAGGUCUGGAAAGGCCCGCCAUAGGAGGUAACAGCCCUGUAGUCAAAACUUCGUUCUCUCCUGAGUGGAUCCUGAGUACGGCGGAACACGUGAAAUUCCGUCGGAAUCCGGGAGGACCAUCUCCCAAGGCUAAAUACUCCCUAGUGACCGAUAGUGAACCAGUACCGUGAGGGAAAGGUGAAAAGCACCCCGGAAGGGGAGUGAAAGAGAUCCUGAAACCGUGUGCCUACAAGUAGUCAGAGCCCGUUAACGGGUGAUGGCGUGCCUUUUGUAGAAUGAACCGGCGAGUUACGAUCCCGUGCAAGGUUAAGCAGAAGAUGCGGAGCCGCAGCGAAAGCGAGUCUGAAUAGGGCGAAUUGAGUACGUGGUCGUAGACCCGAAACCAGGUGAUCUACCCAUGUCCAGGGUGAAGUUCAGGUAACACUGAAUGGAGGCCCGAACCCACGCACGUUGAAAAGUGCGGGGAUGAGGUGUGGGUAGGGGUGAAAUGCCAAUCGAACCUGGAGAUAGCUGGUUCUCUCCGAAAUAGCUUUAGGGCUAGCCUCAAGGUAAGAGUCUCGGAGGUAGAGCACUGAUUGGACUAGGGGCCCCUACCGGGUUACCGAAUUCAGUCAAACUCCGAAUGCCGAUGACUUAUCCUUGGGAGUCAGACUGCGAGUGAUAAGAUCCGUAGUCGAAAGGGAAACAGCCCAGACCGCCAGCUAAGGUCCCAAAGUAUACGUUAAGUGGAAAAGGAUGUGGAGUUGCUUAGACAACCAGGAUGUUGGCUUAGAAGCAGCCACCAUUUAAAGAGUGCGUAAUAGCUCACUGGUCGAGUGACUCUGCGCCGAAAAUGUACCGGGGCUAAACGUAUCACCGAAGCUGCGGACUGUUCUUCGAACAGUGGUAGGAGAGCGUUCUAAGGGCUGUGAAGCAAGACCGGAAGGACUUGUGGAGCGCUUAGAAGUGAGAAUGCCGGUAUGAGUAGCGAAAGAGGGGUGAGAAUCCCCUCCACCGAAUGCCUAAGGUUUCCUGAGGAAGGCUCGUCCGCUCAGGGUUAGUCGGGACCUAAGCCGAGGCCGAAAGGCGUAGGCGAUGGAUAACAGGUUGAUAUUCCUGUACCACCUCCUCACCAUUUGAGCAAUGGGGGGACGCAGGAGGAUAGGGUAAGCGCGGUAUUGGAUAUCCGCGUCCAAGCAGUUAGGCUGGGAAAUAGGCAAAUCCGUUUCCCGUGAAGGCUGAGCUGUGAUGGCGAGCGAAUUAUAGUAGCGAAGUUCCUGAUUCCACACUGCCAAGAAAAGCCUCUAGCGAGGUGAGAGGUGCCCGUACCGCAAACCGACACAGGUAGGCGAGGAGAGAAUCCUAAGGUGAUCGAGAGAACUCUCGUUAAGGAACUCGGCAAAAUGACCCCGUAACUUCGGGAGAAGGGGUGCUCUGUUAGGGUGCAAGCCCGAGAGAGCCGCAGUGAAUAGGCCCAGGCGACUGUUUAGCAAAAACACAGGUCUCUGCGAAGCCGUAAGGCGAAGUAUAGGGGCUGACGCCUGCCCGGUGCUGGAAGGUUAAGAGGAGCGCUUAGCGUAAGCGAAGGUGCGAAUUGAAGCCCCAGUAAACGGCGGCCGUAACUAUAACGGUCCUAAGGUAGCGAAAUUCCUUGUCGGGUAAGUUCCGACCCGCACGAAAGGCGCAACGAUCUGGGCACUGUCUCAACGAGAGACUCGGUGAAAUUAUAGUACCUGUGAAGAUGCAGGUUACCCGCGACAGGACGGAAAGACCCCGUGGAGCUUUACUGCAGCCUGAUAUUGAAUGUUGGUACAGCUUGUACAGGAUAGGUAGGAGCCUUGGAAACCGGAGCGCCAGCUUCGGUGGAGGCAUCGGUGGGAUACUACCCUGGCUGUAUUGACCUUCUAACCCGCCGCCCUUAUCGGGCGGGGAGACAGUGUCAGGUGGGCAGUUUGACUGGGGCGGUCGCCUCCUAAAAGGUAACGGAGGCGCCCAAAGGUUCCCUCAGAAUGGUUGGAAAUCAUUCGCAGAGUGUAAAGGCACAAGGGAGCUUGACUGCGAGACCUACAAGUCGAGCAGGGACGAAAGUCGGGCUUAGUGAUCCGGUGGUUCCGCAUGGAAGGGCCAUCGCUCAACGGAUAAAAGCUACCCCGGGGAUAACAGGCUUAUCUCCCCCAAGAGUCCACAUCGACGGGGAGGUUUGGCACCUCGAUGUCGGCUCAUCGCAUCCUGGGGCUGUAGUCGGUCCCAAGGGUUGGGCUGUUCGCCCAUUAAAGCGGUACGCGAGCUGGGUUCAGAACGUCGUGAGACAGUUCGGUCCCUAUCCGUCGCGGGCGCAGGAAAUUUGAGAGGAGCUGUCCUUAGUACGAGAGGACCGGGAUGGACGCACCGCUGGUGUACCAGUUGUUCUGCCAAGGGCAUCGCUGGGUAGCUAUGUGCGGACGGGAUAAGUGCUGAAAGCAUCUAAGCAUGAAGCCCCCCUCAAGAUGAGAUUUCCCAUUCCGCAAGGAAGUAAGAUCCCUGAAAGAUGAUCAGGUUGAUAGGUCUGAGGUGGAAGUGUGGCGACACAUGGAGCUGACAGAUACUAAUCGAUCGAGGACUUAACCAAUUU
rnacentral:rRNA from 1 species